rnacentral:rRNA from 1 species
UACAGAGGUCCCAAGCGUUGUUCGGAUUCAUUGGGCGUAAAGGGUGCGUAGGUGGCGCCGUAAGUGGGGUGUGAAUUUCGGAGCUUAACUCCGAAACUGCAUUCCAUACUGGCGGUGCUUUGGAGGACUGGAGAGGAGACUGGAAUUUACGGUGUAGCAGUGAAAUGCGUAGAUAUGUGAGGAAGACCAGUGGCGAAGGCGGGUCGCGUGGACGAGUUCCGUUGACGGCUGAGGCGCGAAAGGCCAGGGGAGCAAACGGG